rnacentral:rRNA from 1 species
GACGAGCGCUGGCGGCGCGCCUAACACAUGCAAGUCGAACGAGAGAGAAGGAGCUUGCUUCUUCGAUCGAGUGGCGAACGGGUGAGUAACGCGUGAGGAACCUGCCUCAAAGAGGGGGACAACAGUUGGAAACGACUGCUAAUACCGCAUAAGCCCACAGGUCGGCAUCGACCAGAGGGAAAAGGAGCAAUCCGCUUUGAGAUGGCCUCGCGUCCGAUUAGCUAGUUGGUGAGGUAAUGGCCCACCAAGGCGACGAUCGGUAGCCGGACUGAGAGGUUGAACGGCCACAUUGGGACUGAGACACGGCCCAGACUCCUACGGGAGGCAGCAGUGGGGAAUAUUGCACAAUGGGGGAAACCCUGAUGCAGCGACGCCGCGUGGAGGAAGAAGGUCUUCGGAUUGUAAACUCCUGUUGUUGAGGAAGAUAAUGACGGUACUC